rnacentral:lncRNA from 1 species
AAAGAGGCAUUGUGCGGCCGAAACAUAUGGCUUGAAUUAAGCCGUUCCCCACAGAGUGGCGCGCUUUGUAGCAAAGAAGAAACAGACGUCCCAUUUUCCUGCUUAUGGUACAAAAUCUGGUGGAAUAUUUUCAACCUAGCUAAUCUGGCCCUAUAUAUACAUGUGUAGUUUCUUAGACAAAUAUGGUGAACAAGGUAAAGGUGAUAUAUGAUCACAAUCCUCCCCCUCUCACUUCAAAUAAUAUAGCCUAGCUAAUAGGAGUAUAUAUGCCAGCUUGCAUAUAGUACAUGCUCUAUCUAGUAUCUACUAACUAAAGAGAUAUAACACAUGAUUAUUCAUCAAUUUAUAUAUCCUUUCAUGUAAGUAUAAGAGGUACAAAUGAUUUU